rnacentral:rRNA from 1 species
ACUACGGGUGGCAGCAGUGAGGAAUAUUGGUCAAUGGGCGGAAGCCUGAACCAGCCAAGUAGCGUGCAGGAUGACGGCCCUACGGGUUGUAAACUGCUUUUAUACGGGAAUAACGCGCCUUACGUGUAGGGCUUUGCAUGUACCGUAUGAAUAAGGACCGGCUAAUUCCGUGCCAGCAGCCGCGGUACGAGGGAAGGUCCGGGCGUUAUCCGGAUUUAUUGGGUUUAAAGGGAGCGUAGGCCGCAUGUCAAGCGUGCUGUGAAAUGUCCGGGCUCAACCCGGGCCUUGCAGCGCGAACUGGCGUGCUUGAGUCCGCGGAAAGCAGGCGGAAUUCGUCGUGUAGCGGUGAAAUGCUUAGAUAUGACGAAGAACCCCGAUUGCGAAGGCAGCUUGCUGCAGCGGAACUGACGCUGAUGCUCGAAAGCGCGGGUAUCGAACAGGAUUAGAUACCCGGGUAGUC